rnacentral:rRNA from 1 species
CCACAGCUCAACUGUGGAACUGCCUUUGAUACUGUCAGUCUAGAGUAUAGUGAAGUUGGCGGAAUGUGUCAUGUAGCGGUGAAAUGCUUAGAUAUGACACAGAACACCGAUCGCGAAGGCAGCUAGCUAAGCUAUAACUGACGCUCAUGCACGAAAGCGUGGGGAUCAAACAGGAUUAGAUACCCUGGUAGUCCACGCUGUAAACGAUGAUUACUCGAUGUUGGCGAUACACAGUCAGCGUCUGAGCGAAAGCAAUAAGUAAUCCACCUGGGGAGUACGAUCGCAAGAUUGAAACUCAAAGGAAUUGACGGGGGCCCGCACAAGCGGAGGAGCAUGUGGUUUAAUUCGAUGAUACGCGAGGAACCUUACCUGGGCUCGAACGUAAGAUGACUGUAGGUGAAAGCUUACAUCUCUUCGGAGCAUUUUACGAGGUGCUGCAUGGUUGUCGUCAGCUCGUGCCGUGAGGUGUCGGGUUAAGUCCCAUAACGAGCGCAACCCCUACCUUUAGUUGCCAUCAGGUCAUGCUGGGGACUCUAAAGGAACUGCCUACGCAAGUAGUGAGGAAGGCGGGGAUGACGUCAAAUCAGCACGGCCCUUACGUCCAGGGCUACACACGUGCUACAAUGGCCGAUACAGAGGGCAGCUACCUGGUGACAGGAUGCAAAUCUCCAAAGUCGGUCUCAGUUCGGAUCGGAGUCUGCAACCCGACUCCGUGAAGUUGGAUUCGCUAGUAAUCGCGCAUCAGCCAUGGCGCGGUGAAUACGUUCCCGGGCCUUGUACACACCGCCCGUCAAGCCAUGGAAGCUGGGGGGACCUAAAGUCGAUAACCGCAAGGAGUCGCCUAGGGUAAAACCAGUGACUGGGGCUAAGUCGUAACAAGGUAGCCG